GAGGUUUCUGUCAACAGUGAGAGGAAUAGUGAAGAAAUGCCUUUCUCCAUUUUGCUCUAAUUCUCCCUUGGUCCCGGCACUACGAUUGUUGCAUCCCUCCACAUCUCCUAAGUGACCCUCUGCUCCCACUCCAUCCACAAAAACUAGCAGCACCCUGUGGACACCGCAGACCCUGCCUUAUGACUUAGAGCACACGGAAGACUAGAUGACGUCCUUUGGGGAGUGCGCAUUCUGAGAAAACUUACAUGAAGCAUCUAUAACCGCGCCCAGCUUAAGAUAAGGCACACCUCGUUUCAUCUCUUUGUGCUUCUGCACAGAAAAUCAGACCUUCUGUUGCAAGAUGGCCCUAAGGAUUUGACAUUGAUCACCAUCAUAGAAUUGGAACUUACAAAUAUUUUUCUCUUGGUAACACUCUGCAGAUGGUUAAGAGCCAGCACGUGGUUGCUGGGGAUUGAACUCAGGACACUGUAGCUAACCAUUGUCGGUAACUCCAGUUCCCGGAACUCCAGCACUGUCUCUGCCCUCCAUGGGCAGCCCACAUGCGAGUGAUGCACACAUACAUACAAGUAAAGCACCCGCACAGAUGCAGCAAAACUUUGAAGAAAGAUAAUUUGUUUCCAGCAAAUCUGGACUAUAAGAAUGUCUGACAAACAACUUAAAUCAAGAAAGAGAGUUUGUUCACCUCCUGACAGACAAGAGAUGGGGAGGUGCAGAAGAAAGAGAGAAGAACAGAGAGGAAGAGAGGGGAGGGAAAAAGGAGAGGAAAGCAGUCUGGGGCAAGAAAGAUCCAAGGACCCACUGUAGUGACUUACUUCCUUCAGCUGCAAAGUGGCUAUAAGUUUCAAGUGGUCCCUGAAAGAACACCUCAGCUGGACUCAACCCCUCAAAUCACAAGCCUUUUGGAAGACCAGUUCACAUCCAAACUGAACAGUACAUUUCCUAGAACACCAAAGUCUCAUGUGCGUCUCACAAGGUAAUAUUUGGUAUACCAAGGGUUCCCAAAGCCUUAUCAGUUCAAACAUUGUUGACAAUUUAGGUUCAAUUAAGAUCUGAGACUCAAGGCAAAUUUUUACUCUUAGGCUCUAUAAAAUAAAACAAGCGGUGAAUGUCAUGUUUGGUUGUUGCCUCUUAGAAGUCUGCUCUUUUCUGAAAGGAAAAAAAGGGGAGAGGAUCUGAGGG
ensembl:lncRNA